UGGAGAGUUUGAUCCUGGCUCAGAUUGAACGCUGGCGGCAGGCCUAACACAUGCAAGUCGAACGGUAACAGAGAGCAGCUUGCUGCUCUGCUGACGAGUGGCGGACGGGUGAGUAAUGUCUGGGAAACUGCCUGAUGGAGGGGGAUAACUACUGGAAACGGUAGCUAAUACCGCAUAACGUCUUCGGACCAAAGUGGGGGACCUUCGGGCCUCAUGCCAUCAGAUGUGCCCAGAUGGGAUUAGCUAGUAGGUGGGGUAACGGCUCACCUAGGCGACGAUCCCUAGCUGGUCUGAGAGGAUGACCAGCCACACUGGAACUGAGACACGGUCCAGACUCCUACGGGAGGCAGCAGUGGGGAAUAUUGCACAAUGGGCGCAAGCCUGAUGCAGCCAUGCCGCGUGUAUGAAGAAGGCCUUCGGGUUGUAAAGUACUUUCAGCGGGGAGGAAGGCGUUGUGGUUAAUAACCGCAGCGAUUGACGUUACCCGCAGAAGAAGCACCGGCUAACUCCGUGCCAGCAGCCGCGGUA
rnacentral:rRNA from 1 species